CGCCUGUAAUUCCAGCACUUUGGGAAGCCGAGACGGGCGGAUCACGAGGUCAGGAGAUCGAGACCAUCCUGGCUAACAUGGUGAAACCCAGCCUCUACCAAAAAUACAAAAAAAUUAGCCAGGCGUGGUGGCAAGCACCUGUAGUCCCAGCAACUCGGGAGGCUGAGGAUGGCAUGAAAACUGGACGCAGAGCUUGCAGUGAGCCGAGAUUGCGCCACUGCACUCCAGCCUGGGUGACAGAAUGAGACUCCGUCUCAAAAAAAAAAAAAAAAAUUGACUACUUUUAUUAAAUGAUGAGAGGUUGAGUAGGAAGAAAAGGAAGAUAGUCUAAUGGGUGGAAAUUUCUGGGAGACAGAUUCAAUUCCAUAGGAGGGAAGCAUUUCCAAGGAUAAAUGCCAUUUGACAAGGGAGAAGUUAUGCUGUCCUAGUUCCUCUUUCUGAGCGGGAUCCCUGGAUGCUGCCUUAAGCCAAUGGUCUUUACCUACAAAGCUUGGUCUAGGUGUCAAGCAGUACACUUCCCUUAUUUGAGAGCUGAAAUAUUUGGAGCUGAGGAAGCAACUAAGGGGGCAGUAGUGCCUUGAAAAUCAACUAAUUCAAAAUCCCAGAAGACCAUGCUAAUACAUUACCAAACCUAUGGGAGCUGGGCAAAGACAGAAGAUCCUGGAGGGAGGCCAACAAGGAAGAGGGAGUCAGGUAGAACCUGGAGUUACUACUCACCAAGAAAGAGGCAGCUGCUGGGGUAUGUGUGUGUACAAGGCUAUCCAGUGGGGAUUGUUGGAGCACAGGCGGGGCAGAUGCCCUCUUAAGGUGCAAUUAGUGCUCAUAACCAGCCCACAAAGAAUGUAUUUUUGUGAAAAAAAAAAGAGGAAGAAGAAGAAGAAGAGAAAUGUCAAGGUUAUCAGAACCUAGGAAACUCCAAAAAACUGCCACAGCCAAGAGGACCCUAAAGAGACAUCACAACUAAACGUGAUGCGGCAUCUUGUAUGGGAUCCUAAAGUAGAAAAGGGACAUUAGGGAAAAACUAAGGAAAUAAAAUUAACCGUGGACUUUACUUAAUAAUGUGUCAAUAUUGAUUCAUU
rnacentral:lncRNA from 1 species